rnacentral:rRNA from 1 species
GAUGAACGCUGCCGGCGUGCCUAAUACAUGCAAGUCGAGCGAACGGACGAGAAGCUUGCUUCUCUGAUGUUAGCGGCGGACGGGAGAGUAACACUUGGAUAACCUACCUAUAAGACUGGGAUAACUUCGGGAAACCGGAGCUAAUACCGGAUGAUAUUUUGAACCGCAUGGUUCCAACGUGAAAUAAGGUAUUUCUGUCGCUUAUAGAUGGAUCCGCGCUGCAUUAGCUAGUUGGUAAAGUAACGGCUUACCAAGGCAACGAUGGUGAGCCGACCUGAAGGGGUCGUUCGCUAGACGGUAACUGAGACACGGUCCAGACUCCGACGGGAGGCAGCAGUAGGGACUCUUCCGGAAUGGGCGAAAGCGUGAUGUAGCAAAGCCGCGUGAGUGAUGAAGGACUCCGGAUGGUAAAACUCUGUUAUUAGUGAAGAACAUAUGUGUUAGUAACGGUGAACAUCAUGACGGUACCUAAUCAGAAAGCCACGGCUAACUUCGUG